GACGAACCGUACGAACGUUAUUCGGAAUUACUGGGCUUAAAGGGUUCGCAGGCGGCCCGGUGCGUCAGCACUGAAAGCGCUCGGCUUAACCGAGCGAGGCGUGCUGAUACGACCGGACUUGAGGCUCUGAGAGGGUGGCGGAACUCCUGGUGUAGCGGUGAAAUGCGCAGAUAUCAGGAGGAACACCGGUGGCGAAGGCGGCAUCCCGGACCGGUAUUGACGCUGAGGCGCGAAAGCCAGGGGAGCAAACGGG
rnacentral:rRNA from 1 species